UUCUCCACCAAAAUAUUUGGUAUUAAGUUACAGGCCACAGAAUUAUCCUUCACAUCACAUGUUUGGCAUUAUGUUUGUAGCGAUGAAAUGAGAUAUGUGGAAACAACUUUAGAUUCAGAUAUAUUAUUUGUUGGAGCAGCAUUAAAUCAUGUAACCCCAUCAUCAUCACAUGCAGCCUCAUCUUUUUCCAAGUUAUCUAUCACAUGUUUGGCUCUAGCUGUGGUUAAAACUACUCAUGCGCAGAAACGUAUAUAAACAUCUAACGGCCCAAUUCAUUCAUAUGAUACAUUGUCGGCAAAAAGCAUUAUUGUUUCUCAAUCACCAGCUUUCCACAUUUUAUGUGGGCCCCACCUGCAUCUCCAAAGUAAGUAAUUCUUCUUCAAUAAAUACUCCUCCACUAUUUUCAUUCUCAACAUCACAAAUUCAAUAUACACAACACAACUUCUUCUCAGAUUCACAAUUUUCUACUGUUUUCAUCUUCAAAAUUCUCUAUAAUAUUCCAUAGUUUUACAAUGGCAUCUUCAGCUACUACUAUGAAGUUUUUCACCUUCUUUUUCAUCAUUGUUUUCGCCGCUGUUGCCUCAGCACAAGACCUCAGUCCCGCGUUGGCUCCAGCACCAGGUCCCGAUGCCGGAGCUGCCGGAUCUGUUACAAAUUCAGUUGCUAUGAUUGGAGCUUCAAUUGUCCUGUCGAUGCUUGCGAUAUUCAAGCACUAAAACUGAUGCGUGGUGAUAAUUUAUUUUGUUUACAAUUGUUAUGAGUUGAUCUAUGUAUAAUUGAGAGUGAGAGUGUUUUUGCAGUAUUUAUUUUCAUAUUUAAUUAUUUAUUGUUGGUAUUAAGGAAAAUAAAGAGGAAUUUCAUUUUCUUUUA